CUCCCGGCCUUUUGCCAUUUGCUUGUCCCCCACCAUUUGCCUACAAGGGGCAAUCCUCUGCAGAUCUCACAGCAGUCUCCUGCAUGAUCAAACCCUAGAUCUGUGUCUGCUUAAGCGAUAUCAUUUUAAAAAAUAACUUCUGUUCCAAGAUGGGGAAGGUCAUUCCGACUGAACUGCAUAAGGAGCAAUUAUAGUUUCAGAGCUCUUGAGGACACCACAUGCCCAUGACCCUGCAGAAGAAACUGGAAAAACACCACUUCAACUUGUAAUUGGAUACAAGCUGUCUGAGAUGGAAAUUGAGAGCAAAGUUCUCUGUUUAUUUACGAGCCAGCACUGAUACCUGAAGCAUAAAGCAAGGCACCUUCAGAUCAAUGCCAGCAAACUCUCGACUAUAUAGGAAAAUCCUUCCUGCCACGGGACAAGCACGACCGUGUCCUCGUGUUCUUUCAGCGUAACCCCCACCUUGAUAACACUUGUCAUCUGAGCAGCUUGUAUGACAGGUCUGUGAAGUGGAUUACUACUGUCCACUAGAGGCUGUAAUGAGACC
ensembl:lncRNA